UGAAGUAAGUAAGGGCGUACGGUGAAUGCCUUGGUGCCAACAGGCGAAGAAGGACGCGGCAAGCUGCGAAAAUCCUCGGGAAGCUGCAAGCAAGCGAUGAUCCGGGGGUAUCCGAAUGGGGUAACCUGAUCGAGGCAAUACUCGAUCGUUCAUACCUGAAUACAUAGGGUAUGAAACGCGAAACCCGCUGAAGUGAAACAUCUCAGUAAGCGGAGGAAAAGAAAGAGAAAUCGAUUCCGUAAGUAGUGGCGAGCGAAAGCGGAUGGAGCCCAAACCGAAGGUACUCCUUCGGGGUUGUAGGACCACGAGAUAUUCGACCAUACUGGAUAGUAGAACAGCCUGGAAAGGCUGGCCGUAGAAGGUGAAAGCCCUGUAGACGAAAUCCAGCGUGGGAAUUAGUGGGAUCCUGAGUAAUACAUCACACGUGGAACGAUGUAUGAAUCAGCGCGGACCACCGCGCAAGGCUAAAUACUAGUUGGCGACCGAUAGUGAACAAGUACCGCGAGGGAAAGGUGAAAAGAACCGCUGUGAGCGGAGUGAAAUAGAACCUGAAACCGUAUGUCUACAAAGUGUCAGAGCAGAGCAAUCUGCGAUGGCGUGCCUUUUGUUUAAUGAGUCUGCGAGUCAGUGUUUGUGGCAAGACUAAGGGCUUCCGGCCCGGAGUCGCAGCGAAAGCAAGUCCGAAUAGGGCGAAUUAAGUCGCAGGUACUGGACCCGAAGCGGAGGUGACCUACCCUUGGCCAGGUUGAAGCAUGGGUAAAACCAUGUGGAGGACCGAACAGGUGAACGUUGAAAAGUUCUCUGAUGAGCUGAGGGUAGGAGUGAAAGGCUAAUCAAACCCCGUGAUAGCUGGUUCUCUUCGAAAUGCAUUUAGGUGCAGCGUCACGUGCUGAUGCGCGGGGGUAGAGCACUGACAAGGCUAGGGGGCACACCCGCUUACCAAACCUUAUCAAACUCCGAAUACCGUGCAAUGGAACGUGGCAGUGAGACAGUGGGGGAUAAGCUUCAUUGUCGAGAGGGAAACAACCCAGACCAGCAGCUAAGGUGCCUAAAUAACGCUCAGUGGAAAGGAUGUGGGAUUACACAGACAGUGAGGAUGUUGGCUUAGAAGCAGCCACCAUUUAAAAAAUGCGUAAUAGCUUACUCAUCGAGUGAUCCUGCGCCGAAAAUGAUUGGCGAUCAAGCGUUAUACCGAAGCUCUGGACUUUACCUUAUGGUAGAGUGGUAGAAGAGCGUUGCAUGCGCGUUGAAGGGUGAUGGCGACUGACCCUGGAGCACAUGCAAGUGAGUAUGCAGACAUGAGUAACGUAAAGCCGGGUGAAAUCCCCGGCCGCCGUAAACCCGAGGUUUCCAGGGCAACGUGUUUCGUCCCUGGGUUAGCCGGGACCUAAGCCGAGGCCGAGAGGCGUAGGCGAUGGAUAUCAGGUUAAUAAUCCUGAGCUCGCGACCCUUAAACUGGGGGGACGCAUGAGAAAAGAUGACUAGGUUAUUGAAUUCCGAGUUGAGUCCACGGACUCAGCGCAUCAUUGGAUCGAGUGCCAAGAAAAGCCCCAGCGUAUGCUAAGCGACCCGUACCGCAAACCGACACAGGUGGGUGGGUAGAAUAUACCAAGGCGUAAGAGUGAAACCUGGUUAAGGAACUCGGCAAAUUAGCCCCGUAACUUCGGAAGAAGGGGUGCCUGCAGCGAUGCAGGCCGCAGAGAAAUGGCCCAACCGACUGUUUAUCAAAAACACAGCACUCUGCAAAGACGCAAGUCGAAGUAUAGGGUGUGACACGUGACCAAUGCCGAAAGAUUAAGGCAAGGGGUUAGCCGCAAGGCGAAGCUCUGAACCCAAGUCCCGGUGAAUGUCGGCCGUAACUAUAACGGUCCUAAGGUAGCGAAAUUCCUUGUCGGGUAAGUUCCG
rnacentral:rRNA from 1 species